rnacentral:rRNA from 1 species
GUUCGGCCCUCGGCGGACGGCUCAGUAACACGUGGAUAACCUGCCCUCAGGUGGGGGAUAAUCUCGGGAAACUGAGGCUAAUACCCCAUAGGUCAUGGACGCUGGAAUGCCCCAUGACUGAAAGCUCCGGCGCCUGAGGAUGGGUCUGCGGCCUAUCAGGUAGUAGUUGGGGUAACGGCCCAACUAGCCUAAAACGGGUACGGGCCCUGAGCGGGGGAGCCCGGAGAUGGACUCUGAGACACGAGUCCAGGCCCUACGGGGCGCAGCAGUCGCGAAAACUUCACACUGCGGGAAACCGUGAUGAGGGAACCCCAAGUGCCCAGGCGUUAGUCUGGGCUGUUCACAUGCCUAAAAAGCAUGUGAAGUAAGGGCUGGGUAAGACCGGUGCCAGCCGCCGCGGUAAUACCGGCAGCCCAAGUGGUGACCCCUAUUAUUGAGCCUAAAACGUCCGUAGCCGGCCCGGCAAAUCUCUGGGCAAAUCGGGCAGCUCAACUGUUCGACUUCCAGAGAGACUACCGGGCUUGGGACCGGGAGAGGCCAGAGGUACGUCGGGGGUAGGGGUAAAAUCCU